rnacentral:lncRNA from 1 species
AUCAAAGAGAUUUAUUGCUUACUUAUCUAAACAAAGUAGUUAUUUACUGUGGUAAGAAAACAGCUAUAAGAAAGAGGGAAAAAAUAGAAAAGAAGGAAAUCUGGCAAGCAGUCGGGAUAGAGUUGCAGCAAGAGAUAGUCACCACCAUGGAUCCAGCAGCAUCCCGCUGGUCUGGAGUCUCCGUGUACUUUGGUGGGGGGGUUCCACUCGCCGUUGGAUCACACAGUCUUUUAUAGGGUCUUAGUGCAUUCCUGCGCAUGCUCUCAGUCCUGGCACGCUGCAUCAUCUAUACAAUCUUUACAACUGAGGUGUUAGGUUUAGGCCUGUUCUGCUAACAGGCAGGGUACACCACAAAAUGGCCACAAGCUACAGUUUAUUAAACAAGCACACUAAAGCACAUAAGCACACUAAUGCAAAUCAGGUAUAUUUCUCUCUAUAUAUAGUAAAUAAGUAGAAUAAAGCAAAUCAGAUAUAUACAUAUAAGCAAAGUACAGAGGAAAAUGAGCAAUGAAUCAAAUCAUUACUGCAUAGAGAGAACAGAGAUUAAGAAGAAGUACAUCACCAAUUUGGGUGACAUGGGUUAGUGUGUGGUGUCCCUGCCCAUGGCAGGGGGGGUGGAACUAGAUGAUCUUAAGGUCCUUUCCAACCCUAACUAUUCUAUCAUUCUAUGAUUCUAUAAAUCACCACCGAGUCAUCCUCCAGGCCCACACUUCAGCUGGGAAGCCCUGUUGCAGCCGAUGCCGGGAGUCUCAGGAUAUUGGGAAAGUUCCUACACGGUGCGUCCACCCAUAGGUGAGGCCUCGGAUUCGGCUACAAGAGGCUCCUGCUUUUGUACCCUUAGAAACACAACCAGCUUUAUGCCAGCUCUGUCACUGUUUACUCGUGGGGCCGUGCAGUUUCUCAUCAUCUCAGUGUUGGCUGUGCCGAGAGCGUUGGCCAGGCGCCCCGGCGUGCCCAAGUGGGAAGCUCAUAGAACAGCUGCACCCUCAUGUUUUCCUGCCUCUUUCUGACAAACAGUCACCAUGAACAUACACAUAUAUACUCUACCCAAUACACUGUGACACAAACAUCCUGUGUUAUGUCUCUCAGUCAUGAGAGGGAAUCAACUCUCAGCUAGGUUCCCAUCCGUUACACAGAGUCACAGCCAAAUCCAAGCAGAGUAGCUGUAUGCACAUGUUGGUUUGGGGCUGCAGCUGUGGAGCUAUUGGUGACUCACAUCCAAUGCAAGAGGGUGUAUUCACUGGCAGGAGGUGUCUGCAUUCAAGACAUGGUGCCAUCUGGAUUCAAAGCUCUUAUUCAGACCUGAUUUCAUUUCUAGAAGAGUAUUUGUGUCUACUUCAUGUUUAGCCUUCCCUGGAAGAGGGAUUCCAAGUGGCAUGACCUGAGGAACUGGGACAGAGCCAGCCGCCACUUUCUCCACACCCCGCUCACCCCGCUCCUGCCCGGCUCCUUCCGGCUCCAUCCCGGUUCGAUCCCGGCUCCAUCCCGGUUCGAUCCCGGCUCGAUCCCGGCUCCAUCCCGGCCUCUCCCCUCCACACCCCC